rnacentral:lncRNA from 1 species
GGAGUUGGAGUUGGAGGUUUUGGAUGCUCGUAUACUGGUGGUGGUGGUGGUGGUGGUGGUGAAGAUGGUGUCACAUAUACUGGUGGUGGUGGAGAGUGAGGCGUGUAUGUUGGUGGCUCGUAAUGUACUGGUGGUGGUGGUGGUGAUUGAGGUGUGUAAGUUGGUGGCUCGUAAUGUACUGGUGGCGGUGGAGGUGGUGGUGGUGAUUGAGGUUUGUAUGUUGGUGGCGCGUAAUGUACUGGUGGCGGUGGAGGUGAUGGUGAUGGGUGAUGAUAGUAUACCGGACUUGGUGGAGGUGGAGGAGGUGGAGCAUGACGAGUUACAGGUGAAAUUU